rnacentral:rRNA from 1 species
UACGUAGGGGGCUAGCGUUGUUCGGAAUUACUGGGCGUAAAGGGCUCGUAGGUGGCCAACUAAGUCAGACGUGAAAUCCCUCGGCUUAACCGGGGAACUGCGUCUGAUACUGGAUGGCUUGAGUUCGGGAGAGGGAUGUGGAAUUCCAGGUGUAGCGGUGAAAUGCGUAGAUAUCGAGAGGAACACCUGCGGCGAAGGCGGGUUGCUGGGCUGACACUGACGCUGAGGCGCGAAAGCGUGGGGAGCAAACAGG